CCCUUAGACGUUCUGGGCCGCACGCGCGCUACACUGACCAGUGCAACAAGCAUCCGUCCUUGGCCGACAGGCUCGGGCAAUCUUUGAACGCUGGUCGUGAUGGGGAUAGACUUUUGCAAUUUUUGGUCUUCAACGAGGAAUUCCUAGUAAGCGCAAGUCAUCAGCUUGCGUUGAUUACGUCCCUGCCCUUUGUACACACCGCCCGUCGCUCCUACCGAUUGAAUGGUCCGGUGAAGCGUUCGGACCGUGGCCUUUGGACGGUUCGCCGUCUGUUGGCUGCGGGAAGUUCGUUAAACCUUAUCAUUUAGAGGAAGGAGAAGUCGUAACA
rnacentral:rRNA from 1 species